UAAUAGUGUAUAUUAAAGUUGUUGCAGUUAAAAAGCUCGUAGUUGAAUGUUGGUGUCGAACGAGCGGUCAGCUUCGGCUGUACUGCUCUCUCGACUCCUUCCUUCUGUGGACUACGUCGCACUUUACUGUGUGGCGCUAGGACGCAGAUCGUUUACUGUGAAAAAAUUAGAGUGUUCAAAGCAGGCCGUACGCUUGAAUACAUUAGCAUGGAAUAAUGGAAUAGGACGUCGGGCCUAUUUUGUUGGUUCUAGGACCGUCGCAAUGAUUAAUAGGGACAGUUGGGGCCGUUUAUAUUCCGUAGUCAGAGGUGAAAUUCUUGGAUUUACGGAAGAUAAACUACUGCGAAAGCAUUCGGCAAGGAUGUUUUCGUUAA
rnacentral:rRNA from 1 species